UGCCCAGCAACUCCUAUCCCUAUCUCCUCGCGGUACCGGCCGGAAACUAUGAGCAACCUUAGGGAAGAUCGGGUAACCAACCCCGGUGGGAACUUUGGUCGUAGGCUGACAGGGAAGG
rnacentral:ribozyme from 1 species